GUUAACAUGUAAUGCUAUAAUAAUUCAUGUUCCAAUUUGUACACCACUUUAAUAUUAUUUGCCAAGACUAAUUCUCAAUCUCGUUUUGUGCAUUGGAAAAGAACCAACAGAGCGAAAAGCUUAUCAUGAGCACAAACCCUUAGGCACUCUUCUUUACUCGAUGGAUCGCUUCUGAUCGUUUUCGGUAAAAUCAGUUUUAAAUAUUUUUUGCUCCACUCUCUCUCUCUUGAGUUCCAAGAUGAUGAGCGCCUACCUGAUAUUUGCAUAUUGCGCUUCUAAUUUCUGCAUAGGGAAUGCUGGGUUAGUAGCUGCUAUUGAACGUUAAACCUAUAGAAAUUCUUUGUUCAAAUUUAUUGCGCAGUAGAGUUUUAAACAAUGACUAGGGCGAUGAGUCCUCUGAAAGAAGAACAUCACUUGAGUCUUGAUCUACGAUCAGUGCGGAUGUGCCUAACUGAAAGUUAAUACGACGCUAGUGGAAGUUAUUAAGAAUUCGAUAGUGAUAAUUUGAGAACGUUAUUAAUCCGGAAGUGCGAAGAUUACACAAAUUAAGAAUCGAAUAGUGAGCCUUCCGAGAUUGUUAUCACACCUGAUUGUGUGCUGUAAUUAAUUUACUGUGGUAAAUUUUGAGGAAUAACCCUACAACGUGGGGUUUUUGUUUGGGCUCGGACCAUUGACAACCGCCAACUGUCGUCGACCACGUGCAACUAGUCCAGGCGUAUCCCGAUGCGCCGCUGCGGUGGCUCGUGAGUACUCACUGCAGUGUCGUUCUAUCCCAGAAUCCGACCGAGUGCUAGAACGCAACCAAACUGCUCGAUAUCCGCCGAGGACUCAAUUUUGAAUUUCGGUGUCAAGCCAAAACGAUCACCGACCAGCACCCGACGUCCCUACAGUGGUGCUAGGCGUCGUCAUCCCGAGGCGCAAGAGAGCUUUGGACACGCGUCGUGAGAGUACUUUGCGGUCGCUGGACAAAUCCAACCAAACGAAAGUGGUAAGUUGCACCCAACUACGUUGGUCGAAUCACCCCUCGGUCACGCGGAGAGCCUGAGCACGAGAGCGAAGAGCAUCGAGGUGAAGCCACGUCGGGGCCCCGAUCAACGCGUCGUUGGAACCUGCCGGCAAGUACUUGCAUGCAUGAAGAGAGAAGAGUAGCUUUAAGAUAGGUAGCCUAGGGAGAUCGAUUGUGCAAGGAAUAUUGGAACAAUAAAGCUAUUUUUAAACCUUGCACUGGUUCCUACAUAGGCACAGCUAGGCGAUAUUUUGCGCUGAUUUGAAAUCUCUACUGAAGUGAUUUGAAAUCGGUUUUUUUUUCGUAACUUUUAGCUCCAUAUUUUAUGAAUUGAGGGGGCCAAAGGCCAAAGAGUUUUUUGAGGUUUACACGGGAGGGAUUCGAAAGGUAAGUCGAGUCGUCAUUUGGUAGCCAAGAAUAGCUGGUGUGUUUGAGCAACUAUUAAAACUCGCCCUAGAAGAGGGUCUCAAAGCCGGGACCCAAACAGCAUCAGCAGCCUUCCUCGUUGGGGAAGUGGCGCUUAAGCUGCUGUUUGUGAUAAGCUCGAGCAGAUUCGUUACAUUUUGGC